rnacentral:rRNA from 1 species
AUUGAACGGUGCGGAAUGCUUUACACAUGCAAGUCGAACGGCAGCACGGAGAGCUUGCUCUCUGGUGGCGAGUGGCGAACGGGUGAGUAAUAUAUCGGAACGUGUCCAAUAAUGGGGGAUAACGAGUCGAAAGAUUCGCUAAUACCGCAUACGCCCUACGGGGGAAAGCAGGGGAUCGUAAGACCUUGCGUUAAUGGAGCGGCCGAUAUCUGAUUAGCUUGUUGGUGAGGUAAAGGCUCACCAAGGCGACGAUCAGUAGCUGGUUUGAGAGAACGACCAGCCACACUGGAACUGAGACACGGUCCAGACUCCUACGGGAGGCAGCAGUGGGGAAUUUUGGACAAUGGGGGCAACCCUGAUCCAGCCAUUCCGCGUGAGUGAAGAAGGCCUUCGGGUUGUAAAGCUCUUUCGCGAGGGAAGAAAACUUAUGAUCGAAUAAAUCAUGAGGUUGACGGUACCUUGAUAAGAAGCACCGGCUAACUACGUGCCAGCAGCCGCGGUAAUACGUAGGGUGCGAGCGUUAAUCGGAAUUACUGGGCGUAAAGCGUGCGCAGGCGGUUUUGUAAGUCGGAUGUGAAAUCCCCGGGCUCAACCUGGGAACUGCGUUCGAAACUGCAAGGCUAGAGUGUGUCAGAGGGGGGUAGAAUUCCACGUGUAGCAGUGAAAUGCGUAGAGAUGUGGAGGAAUACCAAUGGCGAAGGCAGCCCCCUGGGAUAACAC